ACCGGUUGAGUUCAGCAGGCAGAACGCCUGGUUGCAAAAUCAAAAUGUCAGCGAUUCAACUCCGCUAACCGGUACCA
rnacentral:tRNA from 1 species